AUGGGCCUAGGAUCCUGGGAAGUCUUCCUAGCCCAAACGCCAGGGGGUGUGGAAAGGGAAACGCAUUGCAGCGUUGCUUGGUCAAUAACCAAUCCACUGCUGUAUCUAUUGCGAGCUGGUAACGAAAAGGAAAACUAAACAGAAAAGCGCUUAUUCAAACACGCUUAUCCACAAGCAGAAAGGCACUAAAGUCUCAUAUGGAGAUUCUACCAGAAGUUCACAACCGAUUACGCAACGGUGACAAAUAACAUCAUCUAAAAUCCAAUACAUCAUCACGGCGAAGGAAUCAAAGUGUAAGCAUAAGGAUUAAGAAUUACCUUUCGAAGAUGACGACGGAGGUGGCGACGAUGAUGACGAACACGAGCACAACUUCUGAGCGCCUCUCUUCCUCUUCUCGCAAUGUUGGAGCGAAUUGGAAGCGUGUGAGCGAUAACGUUCUUCGAACUUCGAAGCUUCCGGCGGUGGAGGUGGCUUAGCUCUGUCGUGUAGAGCUUCGAGUGAUGAAGCUCUCACAGCAAUAGGAGAUGAGCGUGUACUAAAGGUGGGAGGGAAGCGAUUGCACGAUGCUCUUUGAAUGAGGGGAAAAAAGUCUGAACCCCAAUGAUUGGCAAUGAUUGCCUCUUAUAUAAGCUUGAUCCAAGGGGCAAUUUGGAGAAUUGGAUCUGGGUGGCUCAAUCUGAUUCGUCCAGCUGGCACUUAAGUGAAGGACACAUGCCGUCAUGGAAUUGGUAUUGCACACCGUCUGCUUUGCACUACAGAGGCCAAGCCAAGGACUGCAAAGGUUAGGCUUUGAAGCCUUAUUGCAGGUUACAUCUGUAUUGAAAUGGCCUUGCUGCAAGCAUCGUGUUUCCAUCUGAUGACAGGGCUUUGUUUUGUUGUCUCCACUUUUUCCCACUGAUACAAGUAUUUGAAUCCUCCAUUUGCAUCUGAUAGAGAGGUGUUUGUAUAGUCAGAUAAGGUUGUGUUGUAAAUUCAAAUCACAGGAGCAAGUGUUUGAAUUCUCCAUUUGCAAGCUGACAAAGCUUAUGGUAGCUGAACAUAUCAAUUUCAUCCCCAAAGUUGGUCCAUAACUCAACUUUGAUGGACUUGUCACUGUCAACGAUACCAAUCACUUCUACAAAAGCUGUAAGAGGAGAUGGUAGGGGUGAAUCAGGUGAUACUUUUACAAUAAUCUGCUUCUCAUUCGAUGAUUUUCAAAUGACAACUAAACCCUCAGAUCGCACGAAUUGUAUCACUGUACGAACCCUUCUUCCAACACAGCAGGGUAACAGUUCCAUAUUGACAAAGACGGCAGGGCUUAAUGAAUCCAUAUUCAUACUGAUUCAAUUGCAAUCUGCAAUGCGAAUUGGUUUAUUUUCCUGUUGACUAUGAAGUAGCUUUCUCCAUUGCUCUUUGCACUUAUGAUUUACUUUAACAUUUCUAGGAAUUUUGGUCAAUUCAACAUUUGAUGUUGUAUCUGAAUUCAAGCGACCCCUUUUUGAUGAUUCUGAAACCUUUGGAGCGCAAUCGGCAUAGCAGGAUUGGCUCCAGUUGGACGUUGCAGAUGUUGCCGGUAACUCAAGUAUGCUGCUGGAUGUUGUGUUGGUCUGUUGCAAGCAUGGAUAUCCAUCCUGUAGGGAAUUUGGUUCAGGAUGUGGUAGUUCACUGUCUCAGGGCUUGGAGCACUUUAGUCUUGGUGAAAGGUUCCAAUUGCUGAUUGCUUGCAUAGGGUUCUUGUAAAGUGACUCAGUUGGGUUGUCUUGCACUUAUGGGAUUGCAAGCAUGUUGCAGCUUCCUUGCAGCAGGUAUCAUGCUUCACGACCUAGACUUGGUCGGAUUCGACAACUUACGCUCCAGUACUUCAUGGUCUUGAGUCCUAGUUUGUGGCUCACCUUGGCUUGCUAUUUGCCAACAUGCUAUCUUGCAUCAGGCCUUUCGAGGUUUGCUUGGUGUUUAUGGAUGUGAAGCCAAGCACAUGUCUGCAGCAGGUAUUAUCCCAGUUAACGAAACACAAGACGCUAAAGGUCAUGGCAGUUGUAAAUGGAGGAGCAGCACGGUUCCAAUAACGAAGAAACAACCGGCAACUACUGCGUUGAAGCCUACAAAAAUUCCAGCUGCUGUAAUUCGCUUGCAGGUUGUCGAAAUUGCGGCGUUUGGCUCAGUUUUGAAGCUCUGUUACCGUUCUUUUGCAGGUACUCGGUUGGAUUCGAGUUUGGCCCUGGUUUUGUGCGUGGUUGGUAUUUUGCGGGUGUAAACUUCACGAUACCGCUGUUGAAUGGUGUUUCGGGCUCUGUCCAGAGUCAUUGACGUUGUAAACAAGACUGACUUAACGGAAGCAAGGCUAUAACGUGGAGGCUUAUGUUUCAUGACAGCAGUGAUCCCUGUAAUGUGAGGUGCAACCACGCUAGUUCCAAACUGCAAAUCCUUCUCCAUCAUAUAUUGUCUCAUCAGUUCUGUUUGGAGAUAAAGCACCCUAAAUAUAUGAACCCGAAGCUAAUGUAUCGGGUUCGAGAAGAUUUGCUUCCAACCCAGCCUGGUGUAGCAUGGAAUCAUGCUUCAUGCUUCCUAUAAAUUUCGACAUUAUUCAUUGCCACGCCUUUUUGCACGUUCCGACUCAUGAUUUGCAGGAUUCUUGGAAUUGGCUUAUGUUGACAUGUUUUUGCUUCAGGGUCCAUGUUUUGCUGCAUGUGCUACUAUUUGGGUUCGUGCUCAUUCUGAACCAUGUGUUCAUGAAGUGGAUAAUGGCUUAAAACAAGAUAGCCUCAAGUUCACCCUUUGAAAUGAUGAGGAAAAGUAGUAAAGAUCAAGAAUCAGCACUGGAGAGUAGAUAUAGGAUCUAGGACUAAGGGAGGAUUUGAGUUGACUUUGGUCAAAGUUGACCAAAAGUCAAUUGUUGACCAAAGUCAACACUUGGUCCAAGUUGUCUAAUUUUUUGUAAUUUUCUUGUAAUGACCAUUUUAUUGCUUUGUAAUGGAAUUUGAAGUUUUUAGUGAAAAGGAUUGACUAGUUUGAACAAAA